rnacentral:misc_RNA from 1 species
GGGACUACUCGGGUUUCUAAUCCCGUUUGCUCCCUUGGCUUUCGUGCCUCAGUGUCAGGAAUUGUCCAGAGAUUCGCCUUCGCCACUGGUGUUCCUCUCGAUAUCUACGCAUUUCACUGCUACACCGAGAAUUCCAAUCUCCCCUCCAAUCCUCUAGUCAGAUAGUCUUCAAGGCAUUUUCCGAGUUGAGCUCGGAGCUUUCACCUCAAACUUAACCAACCACCUACGCACCCUUUACGCCCAGUGAAUCCGAACAACGCUCGGGACCUCUGUAUUACCGCGGCGGCUGGCAC